rnacentral:tRNA from 5 species
UGUGGCAGAAUAGUGCAAUAAAUUUAAGCUUUAUUUAAAAAGUCAAUCUUUCUUUAGA